rnacentral:rRNA from 1 species
AGAGUUUGAUCAUGGCUCAGAACGAACGCUGGCGGCGUACUUAACACAUGCAAGUCGGACGAGAAAGGAGACUUCGGUCUCUGAGUAAAGUGGCGUACGGGUGCGUAACACGUAAGUAAUCUACCCUAAACUCUGGGAUAACUCUCCGAAAGGAGGGCUAAUACUAGAUAGAGUCCUUGAGGUGUAGGCUGCAGGGGGAAAACAAGCCUCUGUUUCAUGCUUGUGGUUUAGGAUGAGCUUGCGGCCCAUUAGCUUGUUGGCAGGGUAAUGGCCUACCAAGGCGACGAUGGGUAGCUGGUCUGAGAGGAUGAUCAGCCACACUGGCACUGAGACACGGGCCAGACUCCUACGGGAGGCAGCAGUGGGGAAUUUUGCGCAAUGGGCGAAAGCCUGACGCAGUAACGCCGCGUGGAGGAUGAAGGCCCUCGGGUUGUAAACUCCUGUCAGGGGGAACGACGGGGAGAUGGCGACAAACCAUUUCUUCCAGACGGUACCUCCAAAGGAAGCCCCGGCUAAUUCCGUGCCAGCAGCCGCGGUAAUACGGAAGGGGCAAGCGUUGUUCGGAAUCAUUGGGCGUAAAGGGCGCGUAGGUGGUUUUGUAUGUCUACCGUGAAAGCGUACGGCUCAACCGUAUUUAGUCGGUAGAAACUGCAAGACUUGAGGCUGGGAGGGGCUGGUGGAAUUCCCUGUGUAGCGGUGAAAUGCGUAGAGAUGGGGGAGAACACUCGUGGCGAAGGCGGCCAGCUAGACCAGUUCUGACACUGAGGCGCGACAGCGUGGGGAGCAAACAGGAUUAGAUACCCUAGUAGUCC